rnacentral:tRNA from 1 species
UGUAUUUUGGUGUAAAGAGCACAUAAAGUUUUGAUCUUUAAAGAAAUGGUGUAAUUCCAUUAAAUACAA